ACCCCGGUAGUCAAGUUGGUACGACGCCAUCGAUAUCUUUCGGAUCAGAGUGUUUACCGAUGGAGGUCCUGGGUUCGAAUCCCAGUCGGGGUA